AUUGAACGCUGGCGGCAGGCUUAACACAUGCAAGUCGAGCGGAGAUGAGGUGCUUGCACCUUAUCUUAGCGGCGGACGGGUGAGUAAUGCUUAGGAAUCUGCCUAUUAGUGGGGGACAACAUUCCGAAAGGAAUGCUAAUACCGCAUACGUCCUACGGGAGAAAGCAGGGGAUCUUCGGACCUUGCGCUAAUAGAUGAGCCUAAGUCGGAUUAGCUAGUUGGUGGGGUAAAGGCCUACCAAGGCGACGAUCUGUAGCGGGUCUGAGAGGAUGAUCCGCCACACUGGGACUGAGCCACGGCCCAGACUCCUACGGGAGGCAGCAGUGGGGAAUAUUGGACAAUGGGCGGAAGCCUGAUCCAGCCAUGCCGCGUGUGUGAAGAAGGCCUUUUGGUUGUAAAGCACUUUAAGCGAGGAGGAGGCUACUGGUACUAAUACUACCAGCUAGUGGACGUUACUCGCAGAAUAAGCACCGGCUAACUCUGUGCCAGCCGCCGCCGUAACAC
rnacentral:rRNA from 1 species